GAAUAACAUUAUUUUGUCUUAAAUUCUUUUUCAUAGGGAUAGGCAUGUAUUUCUAUAAGUGUUCACUCUGCUAGUCACAUUUGUCAUUCUACUUGGUUUGUCCCAGAAUUCAAAUACUAAUUUUCUUUAUGAACAUUUCUCAUGCAACUUUGCCAUUUGCUUAUUUUGUCCCAUUAUAGUUGGUCAAAAGAUACAAUAAUACCUUGUAUAACACUUCACCAUAUUAUGUGCUCCUAAUACCAGCAUUCUCUUCUCUUCUGGUGAAUCCAGAGUAUACUAGGUUAUACAAGGACUAUUUUUUUUUAAAGAGCUUGGUCAGCCAACGUUUUAUUUCAUAAGCCAACAUCUUAAUGUUCUUUUUUUUUAUUAGCUACACAUGGCAGUACAGUGAUCUUGACAAUUCAUACAUUUGAAUCAAAUGGGGUAUAAUUUCUAAUUUUUCUGAUUGUACAGGUUGCAGAAUCACAUUGGUUAUACAGUCACCUAUAUACAUACAGCAAUAAUAAUGUCUAUUUUAUUCUGCUGCCCUUCCUAUCCCCCUUUCCCUCCCCUCCCCUAUUUUUACCUGAUACUUCCUUAACUGUCCACUUUAGCACCAUGACAGGAGUUUUGAGAAUAACAUUAGUAAUCAAAAUGCACAAAAUGAUUAAUUUUUUUGCUCUAGAGGUGUGAUCUAGUUCACUCUGAAGACUUCUGUAGAUUCUAAUUUUAAACCAAAAUGAACACAUAUAAAACAAUGUAUAUCUUUCCUGGUAAUAUGACAUGUGACCAAAUAUAGCUAUUUUUCUUGAUAAAAGGGCAUUAUUUCAGACUACAGUUUAAAAUAGUUGUUUUUCACAUCACCCCCCUCAUGUUAUAAUUGUUGGCCCAUUCAAUUAAAAAUGUAGCUGAUUAAACUUUUGGGAACUCAAUAUUAGGGUUGGCUAAAAGGAAUGAGUGUAAUGUUUUAGAAAGAAAAUGUUAUCCUGACAAGAAUGUUUUAAAAGUGAAGUCAUUGUUGGUUUUGGAAGCAAUGGCAUUGUAAUUAGUCAUGGUUUAAAAAUGAAGUAACUUGAAAUAUCAUCAUAAAGUAUUGUUGGAUCUGAAAGAAGACAGUGAACAUUUUUGGUAAUUUUUAGUAUGCUCCCUGAUGUGAUUCAUUUAUUCAUUUUAUUUAUGGAAUUUAGC
rnacentral:lncRNA from 1 species